GAUGAACGCUAGCGGCAGGCCUAAUACAUGCAAGUCGAACGGUAAGUAUUUUAGCAAUAGAAUACGAGAGUGACGUACGGGUGCGUAACACGUAUGCAACCUACCCUUUACAGGAGGAUAGCUCGGGGAAACUCGAAUUAACCCUCCAUGAGAUCACGGUGUGGCAUCACACAGUGAUUAAAACUCCGGUGGUAAAGGAUGGGCAUGCGUCUGAUUAGUUAGUUGGCGGGGUAACGGCCCACCAAGACGAUGAUCAGUAGGGGAACUGAGAGGUUGAUCCCCCACACUGGCACUGAGAUACGGGCCAGACUCCUACGGGAGGCAGCAGUAGGGAAUAUUGGUCCAUGGAUGGAAGUCUGAACCAGCCAUGCCGCGUGCAGGAAGAAGGCCUUCUGGGUUGUAAACUGCUUUUGCCAGGGGAUAAAAAGACCAUGCGUGGUUAAUUGAAGGUACCUGGUGAAUAAGCCACGGCUAACUACGUGCCAGCAGCCGCGGUAAUACGGU
rnacentral:rRNA from 1 species